UCUUUUUUGAAAGCAAAUAUUAUUGCAGAGGAUUGUAAAUCUUCGUUUGGAUUUUAUCCUCAAAAUA
rnacentral:tRNA from 1 species